UUGGUUUACACCUGUUUUGAGCAUAGUCAUGGUUUUAUUAUUAAACUCACCUUCUUCCUGACUCCCUGUGUAUACGUUACAGAAUACUGCCUCUCAAGAUAUGAAAGCAGCAGAAGUUAAGGAUAUCUCCCAGAUGGUCGACGAACAGGAACACCUACUCCGUCAACGCCAUGACCAGCUGGCUCAACUGGGUACGGUAAUGGAUCAGGUCCUCCACGUUCCCCACCACCCGCGAGAAUCUCCAACUAGUGGAUGAUCCUCGACCACGAGUCGUCCCAGCGAGCCAGAUCCCCAGCCCAUCCAGCAGCUGAUCCAGCAGUCUGCCCAGACAGGAGCCCCCACCACCGAGAGGUCCAAGGUUGCUGCGGUCAUUUCCCUGCUUACCAGACGGGCUUUGGAGUGGGCCACGGCCUUCUAGGAGAGGAGGAGCUGAGUUCCUAUGAGAGGUUCAUGGCUCUGUUUAUGGCGAUCUUCGAUCAUCCACCUGAGGGCAGGGCGGGAGGUGAGCGACUGCUCCAUCAGGGUGCCCAGAUCACUGCAGAGUACGCCCUCAUCUUCCAGACUGUGGAAUAAGACGAUUCUCUAAAUCCUGCCAUUUUAUCCCGCUCUCCGGUCUCCCUACUGCUCUCCAGGUCGCUGAGGCACAGUUCCAGCAGGUCUUCCGACACUAUGGCCUUCCGGAGGACAUCGUCUCCAAUAGUGGCCUCCAAUUCACAUCACGGGUAUGGAAAGCCUUCAUGGAGAAGCUGGGGGUCACCGGGCAGGUGGAGAGGAUGAACCAGGAGCUGGGGAGGUUCCUUAGGUGCUGGCCUGGUUCCAUCCCUGGAUAGAGUACACCCAGAAUUCACCGUGCCACUCCUCCACCGGGCAGACCCCCUUCCAGUGUGUCCUGGGAUAUCAACCAGCUCUGGCUCCAUGGACCCCAAGCCAGACCGACGCUUCUGCGGCAGACUAGUAGUUCAGAAGGAGCAGGUGGAGCCGGCAGACUGAGGUUCCUGUAUUCCAUCCUGGUGAUCGUGUCUGGCUCGCCACCGGGAACCUCCUGCUCUGUAGGAAGCUGAGUCUCCGGUUUAUGGGGCCCUUUAAGGUCCUCCGGGCAACCCGGUGGUUCCUGGUUACCCACCCCCGGACAUCGAUGGGAGUCUCACCUUUGCCGUCAGGUCCCUCCUGGACUCCCGAGGUCGUGGGGGUUGGCUCCACUACCUGGUGGACUGGGAGGGUACGGUCCAGAGGAGCGCUGUUGGGUCACGGUGGACGCCCCCCGCAACGCCCCUGGACAUCGAUGGGCGCCUCGCCUUUGCCGUCAGGUCCCUCCUGGACUCCUGACGUCGUGGGGGUUGGCUCCAGUACCUGGUGUACUGGGAGGGUAUGGGCAUGGCGUCAUCCUGCGGCUAGUGGAGGGGGUACUGUCACGCCUACUCCUGUCACUUCCGCUCCGGCACUCGACUGCGCCAGUCUACUAACCACCGGUCCUAGCAACCCACAUUACGCACACCUGGCAACCAUCAUUGCGCACACCUGGACUUCAUCAUCACCCUGAUUACUUUCCCUUUUAUUUAGCCUUCAGUAGCCUCAGUCUUCAGGCAGUAUUGGUAUGGUUUAUGUUGAAUACGCUGCCCCUGUUUUGAUUAUCUUCAUGUUUCUUAUUAUUAAACUCACCUUCUGCACCUGCUUCCUGACUCCCUCGACACAGAUUAAGCCUAGUCCUGAAAUUAAAAGCAUGAUCAAGGGAGGAUCUGGCACAGUGUGUACCUGUCCAGGCUAGAGGGUGACUGUGGGCCUUGGUGUGUCUGUGGGGAACCUUUGGAAGUCUGGCUGGAGUACGUCACACUAGACUCCUCAUAGGGGAUCCUGCUGGGGUACAGACCGCUUGUUUGCAGAGGGGAACAGGUGCCAACGCUUCCUGAAAUAUAACAGGGUAGGAGUGCUGAUCUAGGUUCAGUUUAUUUUUAAAGGGAAAGCCAUCUUCACCAAAG
ensembl:lncRNA